AUUGAACGCUGGCGGCAUGCCUUACACAUGCAAGUCGAACGGCAGCACGGGAGCAAUCCUGGUGGCGAGUGGCGAACGGGUGAGUAAAGUAUCGGAACGUGCCCAGUCGUGGGGGAUAACGUAGCGAAAGUUACGCUAAUACCGCAUACGAUCUAUGGGUGAAAGCGGGGGAUCGCAAGACCUCGCGCGAUUGGAGCGGCCGAUAUCAGAUUAGGUAGUUGGUGGGGUAAAGGCCCACCAAGCCGACGAUCUGUAGCUGGUCUGAGAGGACGACCAGCCACACUGGGACUGAGACACGGCCCAGACUCCUACGGGAGGCAGCAGUGGGGAAUUUUGGACAAUGGGCGAAAGCCUGAUCCAGCCAUGCCGCGUGCAGGAUGAAGGCCUUCGGGUUGUAAACUGCUUUUGUACGGAACGAAAAGGACUGCCCUAAUACGGUGGUCCCAUGACGGUACCGUAAGAAUAAGCACCGGCUAACUAUGUGCCAGCAGCCGCAGUAAGAC
rnacentral:rRNA from 1 species